GGGGCUGCACUGGUUUCGACGUGGGUUCGGAAUCGCAGCGGUGCAUGUCGAGCUUGAAUAGCGCUCGUAAAUCUGUAUUCGACAAACUAACUGCAAACGACGAACGUUUCGCACUCGCCGCUUAAUUGCCGGUGAGCCUCGCAACAGCAGGCCAAUGGGCUGGGCAAGGGUAUCGGGUCAAACCGGUGUCCAGGCUGCGGGGUAACUUACAUUGGCUGGCUUCAUGUCGGGUACCUUGGCAUGGGGCGAGAUCCAAGGGUGCUGGCUGGUGGGGCAGCGUGCGACUGCGCGGCUCUUCCGGUAAGACUCAAAACAGACCGCUAAACAUGUAGAUCUGCGCGAAGAAGGCUUGCGGACGGGGGUUCAAAUCCCCCCAGCUCCACCA
rnacentral:tmRNA from 1 species